rnacentral:rRNA from 1 species
UACGGAGGGUGCAAGCGUUAAUCGGAAUUACUGGGCGUAAAGCGUGCGUAGGUGGUUCGUUAAGUCCGUUGUGAAAGCCCCGAGCUCAACUUGGGAAUUGCAGUGGAUACUGGCGAGCUAGAGUGCGGUAGAGGAAGGUGGAAUUCCCGGUGUAGCGGUGAAAUGCGUAGAGAUCGGGAGGAACACCAGUGGCGAAGGCGGCCUUCUGGACCA